GAUGAACGCUGGCGGCGUGCCUAAUACAUGCAAGUCGAGCGAACAGACGAGGAGCUUGCUCCUCUGACGUUAGCGGCUGACGGGCGAGUAACACGUGGAUAACCUACCUAUAAGACUGGGAUAACUUCGGGAAACCGGAGCUGAUACCGGAUAAUAUAUUGAACCGCAUGGUUCAAUAGUGAAAGACGGUUUUGCUGUCACUUAUAGAUGGAGCCGCGUCGGAUUAGCUAGUUGGUAAGGUAACGGCUUACCAAGGCAACGAUGCGUAGCCGACCUGAGAGGGUGAUCGGCCACACUGGAACUGAGACACGGUCCAGACUCCUACGGGAGGCAGCAGUAGGGAAUCUUCCGCAAUGGGCGCAAGCCUGACGGAGCCACGCCGCGUGAGUGAUGAAGGUCUUCGGAUCGUAAAACUCUGUUAUUAGGGAAGAACAACUGUGUAAGUAACUCUGCACGUCUUGACGGUACCUAAACAGAAAGCCACGGCUAACUACGUG
rnacentral:rRNA from 1 species